CAAGAACUGGCUCUCCAGCUGCGGCUGCCCGGUCGCCUCCCUGCUCCUCUCAGCUCUAGUGAGAAACAGCUCUUAGAUAAAGCUCCUUUGAAGCCGGCAACUCUCUGUUGUGCCAAACCUGAUUGAAAGAUAACUGACUACAAUCCACCGCACACGUGUCAAGCACACCAUUUGGACAAGCCUCGGCUCAUCCCCGUUUUUCGUGGUGAAGGGCUUCUGGCGGAGAGAGGGAGGGGUUGCCAGGAAAGAAAAUCCACUGGGUGAUGAUUCAAAACAUUCUCUCACUACAAAGUCACUCUGCACCUACAAUUUUGGAGGGAAGACUGGACUCUGAGCACCGUGCUGGGAACUAGGGGUAUCACAGUGAAUGAGACAGACACCACCCCGAUCCCUGAGUGACAGUCCAGCUAGGAAUCCAUGCAUUGAUUAUGACUGGGGUGCGCCUCAGCAGAGAGAGUGCUGAGGAGAGAAUAAAAAG
rnacentral:lncRNA from 1 species